CAGUUAUUAGAUUUGAGGAUGAAUGGAAUGUAAUGUUACUUUUGAAAACAUAAGAAUUUGUCCUGUAUCACUUGUGAUUAAUGGCCACAUGUGCUAGGACCAGUAACCUAUGGAAGAUUCCCUGAUCUGAUAGCUCUGUAGCCCUCAUCUUGUUGAAGCUGUUGUCCUUAGAGGGUCAUACAGUUCAGGUGAAGGGAUUGGAUCAGCAAGACAACUCUGUGGAGUGGAGUACAAUUAAGUCGUAUUGAGUCCCAGCUGGGAAAAGGAGAAAUCCACAAGAUGGAGAAGGCUUGUGGUGGAGGAAGAACCGUAAAGUACUUAGAGAGUAUAAGAAGGUAGCCAUACUUUUGGAUGAAUUUGGAAAGCUGUUGACCUUCAACAAGCUCCAUGAUGAGACAUAAUUUUGUUUUGCUCACAAUGACUUGAAGUAGUGAGAUCAUGUUGAGGUGGUCACCCAUCAUCAUCAAUGCCAUGGUCAUUACUGGCUGGCAUCAUUGCUUCUACAUUAGCAGGACUUUGAUGUCCACUAUGCAGCAACUCCACUGUGAUAGAUACUCUGCUGUCUAGGCAGCUCCACUUUCUAAGGACUCCAAAUUUGAGGACAUCUACUAGCACAGGAUGUACACAUUUGCUGGACUUUCACUGUUGCAGCAACUCAACUCUUAAGGGAUGCCCACUGUUGCAGGUUUUCCAAUGUCUCAGCCCCGCCACUCUUGAAGGACCUUCACUAUUGUAGGACCUCCACUGUUGAAACACAUUGAUUAUCUCACCAACUAGAAUUUAUAGGAUGUCAACUGGCACAGAAAGUCCACUGUUGCAUGACCACCAUUCUCAGUGAAAAUAUACUGUCUCAGGACCUCUACCUUUGUAGCACCUCCAGUGUAGAAGGAUGUCCACUGUUGCAUGUCCACCGCUGUCACAGGACCUCCUCUGUCACAGGACUUCCACUCUUCCAGGCUCAUCUCCACUGUCUCAGGAUUUCUACUAUAUCUCUAGGACCUCCAAUGUCGCAGGACCUCAACUGACACUGGACCUUCACUCUCCAAUCACCUUAACUAUCAAAGAACCUCCACUGUCUCAGGACCUUCACUGUUUCAGGACCUCCAAUGUUGGAGCAACUGUACUGCCUCAGGGGCAGGACCUCCAUUGUCACAGGGCCUCCACUGUCACAGGAUAUCAACUCUUUUAGACUUUUACAGGAUUUCUGCUGGCACAUGACCUCCAUUGUUGAGGGUUCUCCACAGUUUCAUUACUUUUACAUUGAAAGGAAUACCAUUCUGGGAGAACCUCCACUGUCCCAGGACCUCCAGUAUUACGGACUUCCUCAGUCCAAGUAGCUCCAUUAUUGAAGGACAUUUCUGGUUGCAGGACAUCCACUUAUACAGUGCCUCCAUUGUUAUAGGACACCCACUGUUCCAGCCUAAUCUCCACUCUCUCAUUAUCUCCAAUAUUUUAUGAUUGCCAAUAAUGGUG
ensembl:lncRNA